rnacentral:tRNA from 1 species
CGGGGCCGUAGCUCAGAUGGGAGAGCGCGUCGUUCGCAAUGACGAGGUCAGGGGUUCGAUCCCCCUCGGCUCC